rnacentral:rRNA from 1 species
CACGUAGGGCGCAAGCGUUGUCCGGAAUUAUUGGGCGUAAAGAGCUCGUAGGCGGUCUGUUGCGUCCGCUGUGAAAACUCGGGGCUUAACCCCGAGCCUGCAGUGGAUACGGGCAGACUAGAGGUAGGUAGGGGAGAAUGGAAUUCCCGGUGUAGCGGUGAAAUGCGCAGAUAUCAGGAAGAACACCCGUGGCUAAGGCGGUUCUCUAGUACGGUACUGACGCUGAGACGCGAAAGCGUGGGGAGCGAACAGG